rnacentral:lncRNA from 1 species
UGUGUGCUGUGCUCUCUGUCCUGCCGCUGGAUGCUGUGGAGGGUGCUCAGGCAAGCUCCGAAGUUGCGACAUGGAUGCAGUGACCUAUGAUGAUGUGCAUGUGAACUUCACUUGAGAAGAAUGGGCUUUGCUGAAUCCUUCACAGAGGAAUCUCUACAAAGAUGUGAUGUUGGAGAUCUAUAGGAACCUCAAAGCUGUAGGCUACAAUUAGGACGACCACAACACUGAAGAACAUUGUCAAAGUUCCAGAAGACAUGGAAGGUAAUUUUCAUGUGUAAGUUGAUAUGAAUUUGCUUCAGAAGAAAUGUUAAUGUGGCCUGGAACCUUUUUAAAUUUUAUUUUAUUUUUUGGUGGCCUGGAACUUUUAAAGAAAAGCAACAGUGU